rnacentral:rRNA from 1 species
ACUCGUAGACUCCUACGGGAGGCAGCAGUGGGGAAUCUUCGGCAAUGGGCGCAAGCCUGACCGAGCCAUGCCGCGUGAGUGAUGAAAGGUUUUCGGAAUGUAAAACUCUUUCGUGGCGGACGUAAUGACGGUACCCGAAGAAGAAGCCCCGGCUAACUUCGUGCCAGCAGCCGCGGUAAUACGAAGGGGCUAGCGUUGUUCGGAAUUACUGGGCGUAAAGCGCGCGUAGGCGGAUCGUUAAGUUAGAGGUGAAAUCCCAGGGCUCAACCCUGGAACUGCCUUUAAUACUGGCGGUCUAGAGAUCGAGAGAGGUAAGUGGAAUUCCGAGUGUAGAGGUGAAAUUCGUAGAUAUUCGGAGGAACACCAGUGGCGAAGGCGGCUUACUGGCUCGAUACUGACGCUGAGGCGCGAAAGCGUGGGGAGCAAACAGGAUUAGAUACCCUGGUAG